rnacentral:rRNA from 1 species
GUAGGGAAUAUUGGGCAAUGGAUGCAAGUCUGACCCAGCCAUGCCGCGUGCAGGAAGAAGGUCCUCUGGAUUGUAAACUGCUUUUUUGGGGGAAGAAUAGUUUUCUUGCGAGGAAAUGUGACGGUACCCUAAGAAUAAGUCACGGCUAACUACGUGCCAGCAGCCGCGGUAAUACGUAGGUGGCAAGCGUUGUCCGGAUUUAUUGGGUUUAAAGGGUGCGUAGGUGGUUUGAUAAGUCAGUGGUGAAAGCCGGUUGCUCAACAAUCGGGUUGCCAUUGAUACUGUCGGAAUUGAGAGAAGUGGAGGUUCAUGGAAUGGAUGGUGUAGCGGUGGAAUGCAUAGAUAUCAUCCAGAACGUCGAUUGCGAAGGCAGUGGGCUGUACUUUAUCUGACACUGAGGCACGAAAGUGUGGGGAGCAAACAGGAUUAGAAACCCCUGUAGUCC